rnacentral:rRNA from 1 species
UACGGAGGGUGCAAGCGUUAAUCGGAAUUACUGGGCGUAAAGCGUGCGCAGGCGGUUUGUUAAGUCUGCUGUGAAAUCCCCGAGCUCAACUUGGGAAUUGCAGUGGAUACUGGCAGGCUGGAGUACGGUAGAGGAAGGUGGAAUUCCCGGUGUAGCAGUGAAAUGCGUAGAGAUCGGGAGGAACACCAGUGGCGAAGGCGGCCUUCUGGACCGGUACUGACGCUCAUGCACGAAAGCGUGGGGAGCAAACAGG